rnacentral:rRNA from 1 species
AGAGUUUGAUCAUGGCUCAGGAUGAACGCUAGCUACAGGCUUAACACAUGCAAGUCGAGGGGCAGCAUGGUCUUAGCUUGCUAAGGCCGAUGGCGACCGGCGCACGGGUGAGUAACACGUAUCCCAACCUGCCGUCGUACUCUUGGACAGCCUUCUGAAAGGAAGAUUAAGUACAAGAUGGCAUCAUGAAGUCCGCAUGUUCACAUGAUUAAAGGUAUUCCGGUAGACGA